UUUUUUUGUUACGGCAGUUAACAGGAGCACAAGAAAAGUACCCCUGGAGCGUUGUAGCAUAAGCGGAGUCUGAGCUACCGGUCUGGAACUGUUCUCCCUCCGCGACGAUGAUUCUAUCUAUCGCAAAGCCUACCCCACACGCAUAUCCCAUGACGAACUUUGCCCUGCGGAACUAGGCCAUUACGGUCGUCCAACCCGCAAAGAUCUCGACUAUUGGGCCAAAUCGAGAAAUUCACAACGUCGGCGGCCGCCCCCUGAAUCUAUCCAAACCUGUGGACUUGUACAGGUGGCGCGAUAAAUCUCGCCAGCUCGACUAGGAACCAAACCUCGCUUCUGCCACGUUUUCUGUGUCAUUUAACCUCAAUUCCAUUUUAAAAUAUUCAAUCUCUUAUAACUCUGAUAUUAACAACAACUGAACAAGUGUUAAAGUUUCAAAGAGCAAUAAACAACAUUUAAAUUCGCCAUACAAUCUUGUGAAAUCUUAGACAACAAAUAAUUCUUAUGUGGGAUUAAAGUUGGGCAUCAAAUAAUUUAUAUGAUAGAAAACAUUCAUCAACAAAGUAUUUACAAAACAAAACUUAGCAAGGAUUUAUGAGACGAAAGAUCUGGUGUGAAAUAAACUUGUACAAAUAGAAAUGUUAUGUGAGGUUAGAACUGUAGAACAUGAAAUUUACGUUCAAUUAAGAGGUCUAUUUUGUAACUCUUAACGAUCUCGCUAGAGCAUCGUUAACUUACGAUAAUCGUUCCCAUAACGAUUUUGGGACUGAUAGCGAUUUUGUAACAUCUAUCGUCUCGUUACAUAGCGAUCGUAUCGUUAGAAUGUCAUCGUUCCGGAACGAUAGGUUUCAGCUCACCGUUAGAAGUGUCAGAACACGUUAGAAAAGUAUUUAUACAAUGAAGAGGAACGUUUUGGUGCAAAUAUGGGUAGAGAAGGUAAAUAGACAGAAUGAGAAAUUUGUCUCGGGUCUUAAGAGAUGUAAACGACCCCUUGAUCGUUCGAGAAGAAACCUUUAGGAAGACCUACCAACUGCCGCAGAGUUCUGUAUUAUUCACCAGAAGUUGCAGGAAAAAUUAUAUACUCAUGUGCUAUUUCACACAACAUCUUACGCAUAAGAAAUAUCGAAAAUGACGAGAUCAAUAUUGUCUAUGGCAAGGAGAACGAUAAUAAUGAAGAACUUGAAUAUGAAGAACACAAUUUACUACAUGAAUGGCAUAUCGCAAGAAAUAAUUUAAUAAUACAGCAUUUUCAAUAAUGUAUUUAUUAUUUUUUUUACAACAUAAUGAAAUUAUUAAACAGUUCCUCUUUCA